rnacentral:rRNA from 1 species
UCGGGAAUUUUGGGCAAUGGGCGAAAGCCUGACCCAGCAACGCCGCGUGAAGGAUGAAGUAUUUCGGUAUGUAAACUUCGAAAGAAUAGGAAGAAUAAAUGACGGUACUAUUUAUAAGGUCCGGCUAACUACGUGCCAGCAGCCGCGGUAAUACGUAGGGACCAAGCGUUGUUCGGAUUUACUGGGCGUAAAGGGCGCGUAGGCGGCAUGACAAGUCACUUGUGAAAUCUCUGGGCUUAACCCAGAACGGCCAAGUGAUACUGUCGCGCUAGAGUGCAGAAGGGGCAAUCGGAAUUCUUGGUGUAGCGGUGAAAUGCGUAGAUAUCAAGAGGAACACCUGAGGUGAAGACGGGUUGCUGGGCUGACACUGACGCUGAGGCGCGAAAGCGUGGGGAGCAAACAGGAUUAGAUACCCUGGUAGUCCCUGAGCGGGCUGGCAAGGCGCAU